rnacentral:lncRNA from 1 species
AUGACCAAUGCUGCUCCCACGAAAGUGUUGCCGAAUUACCAUCAGGAUCAGGAGGCUGCUGGCAACCAUCAGAUCAACUCGGAGUUACAUGCCUCCUGCCUCUGUCUGUGGCUUGCUGUUUUGACCGGGAUGAUGCGACUCUGAAGAACUUUGCCAAAUACUUUCUCUGCCAAUCUCUGAUGAAGCUGUAGAACCAAUGAAGUGGCUGAAUUUUCCUGCCGGAUAUAAAGAAACCAGACUGUGAUACCUGGGAGAGCCGGCUGAAUGCAGUCGAGUGUACACUGCACUUGGAAAGGAAUGUGAAUCAGGCACAACUAGGACUGCACAAACUGACUAUGGACAAGAAUGGUCCCCACUUAUGUGACUUCACUGAGGCACAUUAUACCUGAGUGAGCAGGUGAAAUCCAUCAAAGAACAGGGUGACCACGUGACCAACUAUGCAAGAUGGUAGCCCCUGAAUCUGGCAUGGCAGAAUAUCUCUUUGACAAGCACACCCUGGGACUCAGUGAUGAAGCU